UGCCGGAUAGUGUAGCGGAAACACACCAGCCCUUGGUUCUGGUAUCGCGGGUUCGAAUCCCACUCCGGCAA
rnacentral:tRNA from 1 species